rnacentral:tRNA from 1 species
GACAAUAAAGCAUAAUUCUCUAAUGCCUCAAUUUGCAAAAUUGAAAAUUGUAAAAUAAACACCAUUACUAUUGCCU